rnacentral:rRNA from 1 species
AUUGAACGCUGGCGGCAGGCCUAACACAUGCAAGUCGAACGAGUGGCGGACGGGUGAGUAACGUCUGGGAAACUGCCCGAUGGAGGGGGAUAACUACUGGAAACGGUAGCUAAUACCGCAUACCAUCGGAUGUGCCCAGAUGGGAUUAGCUAGUAGGUGGGGUAACGGCUCACCUAGGCGACGAUCCCUAGCUGGUCUGAGUGGAUGACCGGCCACACUGGAACUCAGACACGGUCCAGACGCCUACGGGAGGCAGCAGUGGGGAAUAUUGCAGAAUUGGCGCAAGCCUGAUGCAGCCAUGCCGCGUGUAUGAAGAAGGCCGUCGGGUUGUAAAGUACUUUCAGCGAGGAGGCGUUACUCGCAGAAGAAGCACCGGCUAACACCGUGCCAGCAGCCGCGGUAAUUC